rnacentral:lncRNA from 8 species
ACGGUUGUCGUAGGAAUAAGCGGACCAAAGUGCAGCGUGUGGGUCGUUCCACAUUUUAUUUAUACUGUGAAACUAUGCAAUACAUAAAUAAACUGAAUGACAACAAAACAACAAACCGUGACGCAGAGGUGAAACAUACACUACUCAAAAUGAAUCUCCCACAAACCCACGUGGGACAAACACCAACUUAAAUAUGACCUCCAAUUAGAGACAAUGAUGACCAGCUGCCUCUAAUUGGAGGUCAUCCCAAACACAGCCCAACAUAGAAAUACAAAACUAGAACAACCCAACAUAGAAAUACAAAACUAGAACAUAACAAUAUAGAAAAACUAAAUUAGAAACCCCCCUGUCACGCCCUGACCUACUCUACCAUAGAAAAUAAAAACUUACUAUGGUCAGGACGUGACAGGUGGUAUAUUACAUUUUGUAUCGUACAUUUUGUAUUGUCGAUAUGUAGUGGUGUAAUAAUGUUAUAUGAUGUACUGAUUAAUCUUUCGUUUUCUAUGUAAUGUAAGUGCUUUAAUGUGUUUGGACCCCAGGAAGAGUAGCUGCUGCCUUGGCUGCAGCUAAUGGGAAUCCAUAAUAAAUAAAAUAAAAAUACAGAAAACAGAAUGAUGGUGUCAGCAAGUCAGAGCAUCUUUAUUGCAUUCACAAUGGGGUCUGGUGUUGGUGUUCCAUCCAGAUGUUGUAGAAUAUGUUGUUCUGGAGGUGUUAACUAUAGAAAUAGAAUUACCAGAAAAGAAAACCCAUUGAAGUCAAUGUUCCAUGUGGGUAUCUGAGGGGCUUUAGCCAUUCUAGAAAGUAUAGCAGGACGUUAAGCACAUCUUAAACUAGAGUAAUCCAGAGCUGGCCUAAACAAAUAACACUGAUAACGAGGAUAGGGAUUUUUUAUCUGACAAAUACUUUUUAUAAGUUGGAACAUUGUAUUUUAGGUUGCAUGAAUAAAGGACUGNNNNNNNNNNNNNNNNNNNNACCAAAUCGGAAAGAUAGGUAGGAGCAAGCCCAUGUAAUUCUUUGUAGGUUAGCAGUGUCGUGUCUUUGGGGUACCAUUAAACUGAAGACAUGUUUAUCAAUUAACUCUAUUAUCACGUGAUCAAACUGAUUCAUCGUUUAAUUGUAAUUAACUAGGAGAUCGGGGCACCAAGGAAAAU